UUGUCAAGUGUGAUCUCACAUCUGGGAGACAACAUGUAUACAGGCCACUACAUCAGUGAUGUUUUGGACAGCCGUGGCAGUGGGUGGCUCUGCCUGGAUGACGCACAUGUCUUGAGGACAGAUGAGGCCACUGUGCUGAAGGCGAUUGCACAGACUGCCUACAUCCUGUUCUAUGUCUGCAGACAUUGUAUGUACAUGUAAGAUCUCCCUGUCAUUUCUCAUUGAAGUGGAGCAGGUGAAGGAGACCAGGCCCCUCACUACCAGGAGAACCCAUCAUUAAACUAAGGGAGAGGCACAGCGCUCAGGGACCACCUGGAGUAGCACGUAUCACACACCAAGAAACAUCAGAUUAAUCGAAUUAGGCUGCCCUACACCACCAUCAACUGCCUUAGACCACCAUAAAGCUGCCCUAGACCACCAUCAAGCUGCCCUACACCACCAUCAAGCUGCCCUAGACCACCAUCAAGCUGCCCUACACCACCAUCUAUCUGCCCUAGACCACCAUCUAUCUGCCCUAGACCAUCAUCAAGCUGCCCUACACCACCAUCAAGCCUCCCUACACCACCAUCAAGCUGCCCUACACCAACAUCAAGCUGCCCUACACCACCAUCAAGCUGCCCUACACCACCAUCAAGCUCCCCUACACCACCAUCAAGCUGCCCUAGACCACCAUCAAGCUGCCCUACACCACCAUCAACUGCCUUAGACCACCAUAAAACUGCCCUCGACCACCAUCAAGCUGCCCUACACCAACAUCAAGCUGCCCUACACCACCAUCAAGCUGCCCUAGACUACCAUCAAGCUGCCCUAGACCACCAUCAAGCUGCCCUACACCACCA